UACGUAGGGAGCAAGCGUUGUCCGGAAUCAUUGGGCGUAAAGCGCGCGUAGGUGGCCUCAUAAGUCCGCUGUGAAAGUCAAAGGCUCAACCUUUGAAAGCCGGUGGAUACUGUGAGGCUAGAGUACGGAAGAGGCGAGUGGAAUUCCUGGUGUAGCGGUGGAAUGCGCAGAUAUCAGGAGGAACACCGGUGGCGAAGGCGGAUCUCUGGGCCUUACCUGACGCUGAGGCGCGAAAGCUAGGGGAGCGAACAGG
rnacentral:rRNA from 1 species